rnacentral:rRNA from 1 species
AGGAAUAUUGGUCAAUGGGCGGGAGCCUGAACCAGCCAAGUAGCGUGAAGGACGACGGCCCUACGGGUUGUAAACUUCUUUUAUAAGGGAAUAAAGUUCGCCACGUGUGGUGUUUUGUAUGUACCUUAUGAAUAAGCAUCGGCUAAUUCCGUGCCAGCAGCCGCGGUAAUACGGAAGAUGCGAGCGUUAUCCGGAUUUAUUGGGUUUAAAGGGAGCGUAGGCGGGCUUUUAAGUCAGCGGUCAAAUGUCGUGGCUCAACCAUGUCAAGCCGUUGAAACUGUAAGCCUUGAGUCUGCACAGGGCACAUGGAAUUCGUGGUGUAGCGGUGAAAUGCUUAGAUAUCACGAAGAACUCCGAUCGCGAAGGCAUUGUGCCGGGGCAUAACUGACGCUGAGGCUCGAAAGUGCGGGUAUCAAACAGGAUUAGAUACCCUGGUAGUCCGCACGGUAAACGAUGAAUGCUCGCUAUGGGCGAUAUAUUGUCCGUGGCCAAGCGAAAGCGUUAAGCAUUCCACCUGGGGAGUACGCCGGCAACGGUGAAACUCAAAGGAAUUGACGGGGGCCCGCACAAGCGGAGGAACAUGUGGUUUAAUUCGAUGAUACGCGAGGAACCUUACCCGGGCUUGAAUUGCAGGUGCAUGAGUCAGAGACGGCUCUUUCCUUCGGGACUCCUGUGAAGGUGCUGCAUGGUUGUCGUCAGCUCGUGCCGUGAGGUGUCGGCUUAAGUCCCAUAACGAGCGCAACCCCUACCGUUAGUUGCCAUCAGGUAAAGCUGGGCACUCUAGCGGGACUGCCGGUGUAAGCCGAGAGGAAGGUGGGGAUGACGUCAAAUCAGCACGGCCCUUACGUCCGGGGCUACACACGUGUUACAAUGGUAGGUACAGAGAGACGGUCCCUUGCAAAAGGGAUCAAAUCCUCAAAGCCUGUCUCAGUUCGGACUGGGGUCUGCAACCCGACCCCACGAAGCUGGAUUCGCUAGUAAUCGCGCAUCAGCCAUGGCGCGGUGAAUACGUUCCCG